rfam:Danio rerio chromosome 4, GRCz11 reference primary assembly.
GACGUGUUGGCCGUGUGGUUAAGGCGAUGGACUGCUAGUCCAUUGUGCACUGCACGAGUGGGUUUGAAUCCCAUACUUGUUG